rnacentral:misc_RNA from 1 species
UUCAGAAUUCAAAUCACAAAAUGGUGGAAGACGAGCUGGUGGAGAUUUUAACGGAGUAUAAAACUAUUGCUGAGUCUGAACACAACAGUUUUGUUUCAACUCUAGUCAACAAUCCAAACUUUGCACAAGUUGUCUUUAACUCACUUCAGGGGUUCGAGGAGCGUGGGAAAGGGUCUGAUGUACUAGGACAGCUGUGUGAUCUUCUAUUUAGCAUCUACAGACGAGAUCCAGAGUACAAGAGUUUUGCUCUUCAAUUUCUUCCUCAUCUUGCCUUUAUCUAUCUUCUAAACUACGGAGAAAAGGAUGAGUUUGGAUGUAUUGAAACCUGGCUGAUAGGGAUUCAUAAUAUUGAGUCUGCUGAUACCAGUUCAUUCAGGAUCCCGAGUUUAAACCAGAAUUCUAUUUAUCAUGAAUCCAACCAAAUCCUUGAGUCAAGACAGAGCUCAUUGUCAGAGAUGGAGCGAGGUCCUGGUAUAACUGUAAAGAGGAUUCCACCAAUGCAGAUAAAAUCCUUCAACUCCAUGAACAAAAUGCCAGUUAUUGCUUUUCUUUUCAGUGUAUAUACUGGUAGAUUACCGGAUAUACAGCGGAUAUCCGGAGAAUAUACUUGUAAGCUGUGCUCGAGAAUGAUAACUCGGGGGUUCAAUUUUGGAACUAAGAAAGGACACAGAAGAAACCUCUCCUACGGCUCAGAUUCAGGUAUGCGGUCACCGCGUGUUUUGCCAAAUCGUCUUCAUCUCUCGUCAGCACUUCUUCUAGAAAUAUUACAGAUCGGGCACUGGGCAAUCUUUAACCAGUGUUUUGGUGUAGGGAUGCAUCUUAUCCGAGAUAUUGAGUUCAGAGCGCGGCAUUCUUCCAUGGAUAGUGUACUGUUAGUUAGUAGAGCUCUUCUCCAGAUGGCUCCUAAUGGUCCUAGUAUUGAAGAACAGAGAUAUAUUUCAACUCCAUCCCAGCUUUCAAAAAAUAUAAUCACAAACGCAAGCUUCAGAACUAAGAAACUGGAAGGAGAUAUUCCUAGGCUAGAGGAUGAUGAAGGUCCAUCUAGUCUUGAGUCUAAAAUGACAAUAAUUACUGAGGAGGAGGAGGAGGGAGGUCAGGAGACGAGGAAGGGAAGAGAUAUGGAGAACAUUGCGGAUAAAAUAAAGGCAAGGAUGGAGAAUGUCCGGGAUAAUGUAAGAAUACCAAUGAGAAAGAAAGAUCGAGAAAGGUUUUCUGAAAGUGAAGUUUCUGAUAAAGGGCGAGGGUUGAGUGAGAAGAAGGAUAAAAAGAAGAAGGAAGUUAAAUCUAAUCCCGGCGAUCUUGAAGGGUUGGAAGAAUUAAGACUGCAAAACUUUCCCUCAGAGACGAUAGCGAUCCAUAGCCCAGAGUCUGGUUCUACCAGUAUAUUCUAGAAAUAUCUGGUUCUACCAGUAUAUUCUAGAAAUAUCUAGUUCUACCAGUAUAUUCUAGAAAUAUCUUGUUCUACCAAAAUAUUCUAGGUUUAGAGUAAGAUAGACUGAAAUGUGAAAAUUUAUUAUUAAUAUAAGUUGCAUUUAAAUAGUAUUUUAAUAAAAUCUUGAUAAAUAAGAAUGAGUAAGAUAGUAUAAGUAAGUAUAAGUAAGAUUUUUAUCAUUGAUCUAAGAGAGCCUCUCUCACUAUUAAAUAUAUUAACAAAUAAACCAAUCAAAUCAAUUUUAUGAGCUAAGUAAUCCUGUUACUGUUAAAUGUUGAAUGUUAACUCUACUACAUCCUUUAACUAUUAACUUUUUCAUUCCUUUAAUUGGUUCGGGGGGGAUUUUUAACGAACCGACAAGGCUUGAAAGAGACUAGGGGGGGUUACAUCUUUCUCUAGAAUUCAACAACAAUUGUUAGAAAUAUUGAUUAGCUUUCAAGAUAUAUUUACAAAAUAGUCUCUAGUCAAUUGUCAAUAGUAUUUCGUAGUCAUUAUUCUGUAUUUUUGAAAAUAAAAUUUUAAUGUUUAAA